UGAAUACGAGAUGCUACGGCGUCGAAGCAGUCUAUGUCAUACUUCCAAGAAAAGCUCGCACUGUCAUAAACAAAUAAUGCCUGUACCAUAACCGACACAGGUGGGUAGGUAGAGUAUACUAAGGGGCGCGAGAUAACUCUCUCUAAGGAACUCGGCAAAAUGACUCCGUAACUUCGGGAGAAGGAGUGCCUUAUUUAUAAGGUUGCAAUAACAAGAUCCAAGCAACUGUUUAUCAAAAACACAGGUCUCCGCUAAGUCGUAAGACGAUGUAUGGGGGCUGACGCCUGCCCAGUGCCAGAAGGUUAAAGAAGUUGGUUAGCAUUCGCGAAGCUGAUAACUGAAGCCCUGGUGAACGGCGGCCGUAACUAUAACGGUCCUAAGGUAGCGAAAUUCCUUGUCGGGUAAGUUCCGACCCGCACGAAAGGCGUAAUGAUUUGGAUACUGUCUCGGAGAGGGGCUCGGUGAAAUAGACUUGUCUGUGAAGAUGCGGACUACCUGCACCAGGACAGAAAGACCCUAUGAAGCUUUACUGUAACUUGAGAUUGAAAUUGGACUUUACAUGCGCAGUAUAGGUGGGAGGCGUUGAUAAUAUUCUUGCGGGAUUAUUUGAGCCAUCAGUGAGAUACCACUCUUGUAAUGUUAGAUUUCUAACUUUGUAUCAUUAUCUGGUCAAAGGACAGUUUCAGGCGGGCAGUUUGACUGGGGCGGUCGCCUCCUAAACGGUAACGGAGGCGCACAAAGGUUUCCUCUGAACGGGUAGAAAUCGUAUCUAGAGUGUAAAGGCAUAAGGAAGCUUGACUGUGAGACCUACAAGUCGAGCAGGGACGAAAGUCGGUCUUAGUGAUCUGACGGUGCUGAGUGGGAAGGCCGUCGCUCAACGGAUAAAAGUUACUCUAAGGAUAACAGGCUGAUCUCCCCCAAGAGUUCACAUCGACGGGGAGGUUUGGCACCUCGAUGUCGGCUCAUCGCAUCCUGGGGCGGUAGUACGUCCCAAGGGUUGGGCUGUUCGCCCAUGAAAGCGGUACGCGAGCUGGGUUCAGAACGUCGUGAGACAGUUCGGUCCAUAUCCGGUGUAGGCGUUAGAAUAUUGAGAGGAGCCUUCUUUAGUACGAGAGGACCGAGAAGGACAUACCUCUGGUGUACCAGUUAUCGUGCCAACGGUAAACGCUGGGUAGCUAUGUAUGGAGUGGAUAACCGCUGAAAGCAUCUAAGUGGGAAGCCCACCUCAAGAUAAGUAUUCUCAUC
rnacentral:rRNA from 1 species